rnacentral:rRNA from 1 species
AUUGAACGCUGGCGGCAGGCCUAACACAUGCAAGUCGAACGGUAACAGGAAGAAGCUUGCUUCUUCGCUGACGAGUGGCGGACGGGUGAGUAAUGUAUGGGGAUCUGCCCGAUGGAGGGGGAUAACUACUGGAAACGGUAGCUAAUACCGCAUAAUGUCGCAAGACCAAAGAGGGGGACCUUAGGGCCUCUUACCAUCGGAUGAACCCAUAUGGGAUUAGCUAGUAGGUGGGGUAAUGGUUCACCUAGGCGACGAUCUCUAGCUGGUCUGAGAGGAUGACCAGCCACACUGGAACUGAGACACGGUCCAGACUCUUGAAUACG